rnacentral:rRNA from 1 species
CUACGGGUGGCUGCAGUGGGGAAUAUUGGACAAUGGGCGAAAGCCUGAUCCAGCCAUGCCGCGUGUGUGAAGAAGGCCUUCGGGUUGUAAAGCACUUUCAGUGGGGAAGAAAGCCUUGGGGCUAAUACCCUCGAGGAAGGACAUCACCCACAGAAGAAGCACCGACUAACUCCGUGCCAGCAGCCGCGGUAAUACGGAGGGUGCGAGCGUUAAUCGGAAUUACUGGGCGUAAAGCGCGCGUAGGCGGUCUGAUAAGCCGGUUGUGAAAGCCCCGGGCUCAACCUGGGAACGGCAUCCGGAACUGUCAGGCUAGAGUGCAGGAGAGGAAGGUAGAAUUCCCGGUGUAGCGGUGAAAUGCGUAGAGAUCGGGAGGAAUACCAGUGGCGAAGGCGGCCUUCUGGACUGACACUGACGCUGAGGUGCGAAAGCGUGGGUAGCAAACAGGAUUAGAUACCCUUGUAGUC